rfam:Danio rerio unplaced genomic contig NA998, GRCz11 reference primary assembly.
UCCCUGGUGGUCUUGUGGUUAGGACUUAGCGCUCUUACUGCUGUGGCCCGGGUUCAAUUCCUUGUCAGGGAG